rnacentral:sRNA from 1 species
AGGAAGGUGCUAGGUCCUGUCCAGUUCCCUGGCAGUGCCCCCACACAGAGUGACUGGGGGAGGUCAGGAAAUCAGAAGGUGGUCCUUUGCCACGUGUAGAACCAAAAGACUGGUUAGUCACUUUGGGUGGGCUGGACUGCACCGUGGAUGGCAGGGAGGAUGCAUCCUUGCUUAGUGGCCUUUUGGAUUGUAGCUGUUGCAAUGGCCUGAGGCUUUCAAUCUCUUCCCCAGACCAAGAUACUUGGUAGUGACCGGGUGAAGCUGAUGGAGAGUCUAGUGGUUGGAGACAUUGCAGAGCUAAGACCAAACCAGGGGACACUGUCGCUGUUUACCAACGAGGCUGGAGGCAUCUUAGAUGACUUGAUUGUAACCAGUACUUCUGAGGGCCACCUGUAUGUGGUGUCCAACGCUGGCUGCUGGGAGAAAGAUUUGGCCCUCAUGCAGGUAUACCCCCUCUGUGUUCUAGGCACCUUGUCUUCCUUGUUCAUAGAGCAGCAUCCUUGUUAUCCAAGACAGGGUUGGCACAGACAAAGGACCUGGAAAAUGGCUCUUUCAGUGAAUGAACAGCUAUGAGACUCAAGAGCAGGCCCUCUCUGGAGCAUGCCAGGGUUUGGUGGUGGGGGAUUACCAGGCAUGGGGAGGGGGUCUUGGCCCCUCUGGUGUGAGGUGGCAGACCUGGGCUUGGGUCAUCUCUAUCACUUAGUAGCUAUGUGACCUUGUAAGAUGGGAACCAGCCUACUACCUUUUUUUCCUCCCUCCUCCUCCUCCUCUCCACUGUCUUACUACUGUCCAGCUCUGCAGCGUCCAGCCCAUGGUAGCUGCUCAGUAAGUGGCCCCAGAUGCUCUUGUGUUUCUGUCUUUUAGGACAAGGUCAGGGAGCUUCAGAACCAGGGCAGAGAUGUGGGCCUGGAGGUGUUGGAUAAUGCCCUGCUAGCUCUGCAAGGUGAGAGGGCUGGGCUGGGGUUGGAGCCAACCUUUGCCUUCCUGGCUUUAUUGACUGCUUAGCACAGAGGCCAUACCAAGAAGAAGGUGUGGAAGGUGUGAUAUUUGUGUGCCAUAAUUUUAAGUUUGGUAUCUUGCCCUCCUCCUACCUACCACAAGGCUCCAUGGGCUAGAGACAAGGGCAUCUUCUCCCACUUGCAGAGUAAGACGUGCUCAGGGCUUGUUCUAGUCCCUGAAUAAGGCUUUAGUCCAGGUUUGAGGGAUGCUGGGACCUGGAUACUUGGUCACUGGCUCCCUGGGCCCAGGCCCCACUGCAGCCCAGGUACUACAGGCCGGCGUGGCAGAUGACCUGAGGAAACUGCCCUUCAUGACCAGUGCUGUGAUGGAGGUGUUUGGCGUGUCUGGCUGCCGUGUGACCCGCUGUGGCUACACAGGAGAGGAUGGUGUGGAGGUGUGUCAAGAAGUGGUGUAGGGGGCAGUACAGGGCACAAGAUGCAUGUGAGGGGUUGGGGGUAUGUGGUACAGGGAGCUUCCCAUCUGCCCUCUGGUGUUUCAUACAGAUCUCGGUGCCGGUAGCGGGGGCAGUUCACCUGGCAACAGCUCUUCUGAAAAACCCAGAGGUGAAGCUGGCAGGGCUGGCAGCCAGGGACAGCCUGCGCCUGGAGGCAGGCCUCUGCCUGUACGGGAAUGACAUUGAUGAACACACUACACCUGUGGAGGGCAGCCUCAGUUGGACACUGGGUGAGCUGGGCCAGCACUCAAGGAUAGGGUCCUGGAGGUUGGGGUGACGCUUAAUAAGACUAGCCAGCCCAUGACUCCUCCAAAGGUUAUGUAGCCUGGAGCCUUCCUGAGCCUCCCUUCCCUGAAGGUGCCACUGUGGCUUUGCCCAUUAGAAACUGAAGAUGUUGGCCGGAUGCGGUGGCUCACAC